rnacentral:rRNA from 1 species
GACGAACGCUGGCGGCGUGCUUAACACAUGCAAGUCGAACGGUGAAGCGCCUUCCUUUUUGGUGGGUGUGGAUGAGUGGCGAACGGGUGAGUAACACGUGAGUAACCUGCCCCCUUCUUCUGGAUAACCGCAUGAAAGUGUGGCUAAUACGGGAUAUUCUGGGUCUGUCGCAUGAUGGGUCUGGGAAAGAUAUUGUUUCGGUGGGGGAUGGGCUCGCGGCCUAUCAGCUUGUUGGUGGGGUGAUGGCCUACCAAGGCGGUGACGGGUAGCCGGCCUGAGAGGGCGGACGGUCACACUGGGACUGAGACACGGACCAGACUCCGACGGGAGGCAGCAGUGGGGAAUAUUGCACAAUGGGCGCAAGCCUGAUGCAGCGACGCCGCGUGAGGGAUGGAGGCCGUCGGGUUGUGAACCUCUUUCGCCAGUGAAGCAGGCCUGCCUCGUUUGUGGGUGGGUUGACGGUAGCUGGAUAAGAAGCGCCGGCUAACUACGUG